GAUGAACGCUGGCGGCGUGCCUAAUACAUGCAAGUCGAGCGAAGCGGGGACGGGUGAGUAACAAGGGGAUUACCUCCUAUAAGACUGGGAUAACUUCGGGAAAUCGGAGUUAAACCGGAUUAGUAUAGAUUGCUCCGCGCUGCAUUAGCUAGUUGGUAAGGUAAAGGCCUACUAAGGCAACGAUGCAUGUCCGACCUGAGAGGGUGAUCGGCCACACUGGAACGGAGACACGGUCCAGACUCCUUCGGGAGGCAGCAUUAGGGAAGCGUCCGCAAUGGGCGAAAGCCUUACGUCGCAACGCCGCGUGAGUGAUGAAGUUCUUCGGAUCGUAAAACUCUGUUAUUAGGGAAGCGGUACCUAAUCAGAAAGCCACGGCUAACUACGUGCCAGCAGCCGCGGUAAUUC
rnacentral:rRNA from 1 species